rnacentral:rRNA from 1 species
UACGAAGGGGGCUAGCGUUGCUCGGAAUUACUGGGCGUAAAGCGCACGUAGGCGGAUCUUUAAGUCAGGGGUGAAAUCCCGGAGCUCAACUCCGGAACUGCCUUUGAUACUGAGGGUCUUGAGUCCGGGAGAGGUGAGUGGAACUGCGAGUGUAGAGGUGAAAUUCGUAGAUAUUCGCAAGAACACCAGUGGCGAAGGCGGCUCACUGGCCCGGUACUGACGCUGAGGUGCGAAAGCGUGGGGAGCAAACAGG